rnacentral:rRNA from 1 species
GACAGAGGGUGCAAACGUUGCUCGGAAUUACUGGGCGUAAAGCGCGUGUAGGCGGACCUGCAAGUCGGACGUGAAAGCCCUGGGCUCAACCCAGGAACUGCAUCCGAAACUGCGGGCCUGGAGUGGUGGAGAGGGAAGCAGAAUUCCUGGUGUAGAGGUGAAAUUCGUAGAUAUCAGGAGGAACACCGGUGGCGAAGGCGGGUCUCUGGGCCGAUACUGACGCUGAGGAGCGAAAGCGUGGGGAGCAAACAGG